rnacentral:rRNA from 1 species
GAUGAACGCUGGCGGCGUGCUUAACACAUGCAAGUCGAACGGAAAGGCCCAAGCUUGCUUGGGUACUCGAGUGGCGAACGGGUGAGUAACACGUGGGUGAUCUGCCCUGCACUUCGGGAUAAACCUGGGAAACUGGGUCUAAUACCGGAUAGGACCACAUUUUGGAUGGUGUGGUGGAAAGUUUUUCGGUGUGGGAUGAGCUCGCGGCCUAUCAGCUUGUUGGUGGGGUAAUGGCCUACCAAGGCGUCGACGGGUAGCCGGCCUGAGAGGGUGUACGGCCACAUUGGGACUGAGAUACGGCCCAGACUCCUACGGGAGGCAGCAGUGGGGAAUAUUGCACAAUGGGCGCAAGCCUGAUGCAGCGACGCCGCGUGGGGGAUGACGGCCUUCGGGUUGUAAACUCCUUUCGCUAGGGACGAAGCGCAAGUGACGGUACCUGGAGAAGAAGCACCGGCUAACUACGUG